AAUCCUCAUGCUGAGAAAUGAAUCGCAACCGAAUCUUCACAAAGUUCGUCCAAAAUACUUGGAAAAAUGGACGAAAUGCAACCUUCAAAUUCCCAUAAUCUCAGGGACUCUCAACAACAUGACAUGUACGAAGAGAAAAAUCAAAGGUAAGUAAAGGGAUAUCAAAAGGGCAGAGCAGAUUUACCACAAGAUCUGGUUGUAACAGAACAGUUUUCAGCAGGAAGAGGUCCUCUUGUAUCAACUUUGUUUAACAAUGAAUGGGGCCUACCCCUGCGCUUUGCCGACUUCCGCCCCCUGAAUUCGACACGGGAAAGUUUCCCUGAUUUGAGGAUUGUAAGCGACCAUUUUGAUAUUGUCUAUUUGGCCUUGUCACAGCCUGAUUUCUGUAUAGGAGAAGAGGUACCGGACCGUUGAUACUCAUCACAAGUGAUGUCAUCAUUCAGAUCACAGGACCUGCACCCAUUCUCCUCAGAAGCUUCAAAUUGGCUGUUUUCAUUUGACAUUUUGACUUUUGUUAUUGGCUAUUGCAACACAAACUUUAUGUGUUUAUAUGCCAGUGUGCUUGUCGUUGUCAAUAGACUUAACAAGACUUAGUCAGUACUGUGAGAUCCUGAUGUAGACUUUCGAUUAACCAGAAUAUAAGGAAGACUUUAUCCCACUUC